UAAUACGGGGGGAGCAAGCGUUGUCCGGAAUCACUGGGCGUAAAGGGCUCGUAGGCGGGCCAUUAAGUCAGAAGUGAAAUUUACUCGCUUAACGAGUAAACUGCUUUUGAUACUGAUGGUCUUGAAACACAAAGAGGAAAAUGGAAUUCCAGGUGUAGCGGUGAAAUGCGUAGAUAUCUGGAAGAACACCGGUGGCGAAGGCGGUUUUCUGGUUGUUGUUUGACGCUAAAGAGCGAAAGCGUGGGUAGCGAACAGGAUUAGAUACCCUGGUAGUCCACGCCCUAAACGAUGAAUACUAGGUGUUGGAGGUAUCGACCCCUUCAGUGCCGUAGCUAACGCAUUAAGUAUUCCGCCUGGGGAGUACGAUCGCAAGGUUG
rnacentral:rRNA from 1 species